GCCCGAGUGGUGAAAUUGGUAGACACCGCAGACUUAAAAUCUGCUGCGCUUAAACGGCGCGUGCCGGUUCGACUCCGGCUUCGGGCA
rnacentral:tRNA from 1 species